AUUGAACGCUGGCGGCAGGCCUAACACAUGCAAGUCGAGCGAGCGGCGGACGGGUGAGUAAUGUAUGGGGACUGCCCGAUAGAGGGGGAUAACUACUGGAAACGUUGGCUAAUACCGCAUACUAUCGGAUAACCCAUAGGGGAUUAGCUGGUAGGUGGGGUAAAGGCUCACCAAGGCGACGAUCUCUAUCUGGUCUGAGAGGAUGACCAGCCACACUGGGACUGAGAAAAGGCCCAGACUCCUACGGGGGCAGCAGUGGGGAAUAGUGCACAAUGGGCGCAAGCCCGAUGCAGCCAUGACGCGUGUAUGAAGAAGGCCUUAGGGUUGUAAAGUACUUUCAGCGUGGAGGCGUUACCCGCAGAAGAAGCACCGGCUAACUCCGUGCCAGCAGCCGCGGUAAUAC
rnacentral:rRNA from 1 species